CAAACUGGAGAUGGCGACCGGCGCACGGGUGAGUAACACGUAUCCAACCUACCGAUAACUCCGGAAUAGCCUUUCGAAAGAAAGAUUAAUACCGGAUAGCAUACGAAUAUCGCAUGAUAUUUUUAUUAAAGAAUUUCGGUCAUCGAUGGGGAUGCGUUCCAUUAGGUUGUUGGCGGGGUAACGGCCCACCAAGCCUUCGAUGGAUAGGGGUUCUGAGAGGAAGGUCCCCCACAUUGGAACUGAGACACGGUCCAAACUCCUACGGGAGGCAGCAUG
rnacentral:rRNA from 1 species